rfam:Myotis brandtii contig154814, whole genome shotgun sequence.
GUUGGGGGGGAGGGUGGUCCCUCAGCCCAGAUUGCGAGAAGGUGCAGGCCAGGCCAAGGGACCCCACCGGUGCAUG